rnacentral:rRNA from 1 species
UGCUUCUCUGAUGUUAGCGGCGGACGGGUGAGUAACACGUGGAUAACCUACCUAUAAGACUGGGAUAACUUCGGGAAACCGGAGCUAAUACCGGAUAAUAUUUUGAACCGCAUGGUUCAAAAGUGAAAGACGGUCUUGCUGUCACUUAUAGAUGGAUCCGCGCUGCAUUAGCUAGUUGGUAAGGUAACGGCUUACCAAGGCAACGAUGCAUAGCCGACCUGAGAGGGUGAUCGGCCACACUGGAACUGAGACACGGUCCAGACUCCUACGGGAGGCAGCAGUAGGGAAUCUUCCGCAAUGGGCGAAAGCCUGACGGAGCAACGCCGCGUGAGUGAUGAAGGUCUUCGGAUCGUAAAACU